UGCAAGUCGAACGAUGACCCCCAGCUUGCUGGGGUGAUUAGUGGCGAACGGGUGAGUAACACGUGAGUAACCUGCCCCUGACUCUGGGAUAAGCCCGGGAAACUGGGUCUAAUACUGGAUAUGCACCGUGGACCGCAUGGUCCUUGGUGGAAAGAUUUUUUGGUCAGGGAUGGACUCGCGGCCUAUCAGCUUGUUGGUGAGGUAAUGGCUCACCAAGGCGACGACGGGUAGCCGGCCUGAGAGGGUGACCGGCCACACUGGGACUGAGACACGGCCCAGACUCCUACGGGAGGCAGCAGUGGGGAAUAUUGCACAAUGGGCGAAAGCCUGAUGCAGCGACGCCGCGUGAGGGAUGACGGCCUUCGGGUUGUAAACCUCUUUCAGUAGGGAAGAAGCGAAAGUGACGGUACCUGCAGAAGAAGCGCCGGCUAACUACGUGCCAGCAGCCGCGGUAAUACGUAGGGCGCAAGCGUUAUCCGGAAUUAUUGGGCGUAAAGAGCUCGUAGGCGGUUUGUCGCGUCUGCCGUGAAAGUCCGAGGCUCAACCUCGGAUCUGCGGUGGGUACGGGCAGACUAGAGUGAUGUAGGGGAGACUGGAAUUCCUGGUGUAGCGGUGAAAUGCGCAGAUAUCAGGAGGAACACCGAUGGCGAAGGCAGGUCUCUGGGCAUUAACUGACGCUGAGGAGCGAAAGCAUGGGGAGCGAACAGGAUUAGAUACCCUGGUAGUCCAUGCCGUAAACGUUGGGCACUAGGUGUGGGGGACAUUCCACGUUUUCCGCGC
rnacentral:rRNA from 1 species